UCAACAGGGCUUUGAAGUGAAACAGGAGUAGGUGGUGGGGAUAUGUGUGACUUUAGGGUUUCUGGCUUAAGAAGCUGAAUCUCUAUAGCACCAUUUAUACAGAUUGAAUGAAGGAAGAAGCAGUUUCAUGGGAAAGUAGUAAAUUUGGUUGAGUAAAAAGAGGUUGGGGGAUCCAGAAGAGAGCUGGGUUUGCAGCUCAGGAGUCCAGGAGAGAGCUAGACUGAAAACAUAAGCCCAUGGAUAGUCACUGAAGCCAUAGGGAUGAAGAACACCUAUGGGAAACAGAGAUGGAAGAGGAUGUUACACCAAUGAGGUGUGGUCAAUACAAUUAAUUGCUAAAAAGAGCUCAGAACAGAGUGACCUGUGAUGUCUUCCCACUACUCCCAGGUUGAGAGAGAGAGAAUGAAGACCCAUUGCUGUACAGGAACUGACUGAACGCUUUGAAGAUCCUGUCGCCUGCAGGCAGAGUCUCUGUCCCCCAGCCUGGAGUGCAGUGGCGUGAUCUCAGCUCAGUGCAACCUCCACCUCUUAGGUUCAAGCGAUUCUCCUGCCUCAGUCUCCCAAGUAGCCAGGAUUACAGAAACAUACCCAGAAGUGGGAUUGCUGGAUUUAAAAACGGGCAAAGGACCUUAAUAGACAUUUCUCUUAAGAAGACAUACUC